GACGAACGCUGGCGGCGUGCUUAACACAUGUAAGUCGAACGGAAAGGCCCUGCUUUUGUGGGGUGCUCGAGUGGCGAACGGGUGAGUAACACGUGAGUAACCUGCCCUUGACUUUGGGAUAACUUCAGGAAACUGGGGCUAAUACCGGAUAGGAGCUCCUGCUGCAUGGUGGGGGUUGGAAAGUUUCGGCGGUUGGGGAUGGACUCUCGGCUUAUCAGCUUGUUGGUGGGGUAGUGGCUUACCAAGGCUUUGACGGGUAGCCGGCCUGAGAGGGUGACCGGCCACAUUAGGACUGAGAUACGGCCCAGACUCCUACGGGAGGCAGCAGUGGGGAAUAUUGCACAAUGGGCGGAAGCCUGAUGCAGCAACGCCGCGUGCGGGAUGACGGCCUUCGGGUUGUAAACCGCUUUCGCCUGUGACGAAGCGUGAGUGACGGUAAUGGGUAAAGAAGCACCGGCUAGCUACGUG
rnacentral:rRNA from 1 species